UAUUAUAAAAAAAAAAGAUAAAGUUUAAACUCAAAACAAAGUGAUUCGAAGGAAAAGUCUUAAUUAUCAUAGCAAUCCAUCAUUUGCCCGACGAGACUCUUGAAAACAAUUAUCUUUUGGGAAUUUGCCAAUAAAACCUAGUGUUAUCUUCUGAUGAUUUUUUAGAAUAAAGAUACGUAUUAAUUAGUUUGUUUGUUAUUAAAUAAUGUAAGUACUGUGUCCAAGUUUCUAAUGGAUCUCAUAUUCUUUUCGUUCUCCUAAUUAAUUUUUCUUUAUCAUUUAUUUAGAUUAAGUAAGAAUUUGGGCAAUUCAACACAAAAUAAUAGUGUACUUUUGAUUUUCACUUGAACUACCUAAUUUACCCAAUGCAAUACUAUCUCAAUUUAACUAAUACUAAGAAGACCGUUUAUCUAAAUUAUUUUUUUAAUCAUCUUAUCUGUCAAAUAACAUGUACUAACUAAUCAUGACUGCCAAGUUUUAUAGUUUGAGCAUUACUAUUGUACUUUCGAAUGCCAUACUAACAAAAGACCCACCAACGGGAUACAUAUGUAGGGAAAUCAGUAGAUGAGCGAAAAGAUGAGGACAUAAAAGAUAACGAUUAAUUAUGUUCCUGAUAGCAUAUCCAACAACAACCAAACAGUAGUAUUCUAUGGCAUCAUUUGGCAUGGUUUAUUAGACAUUGGAUGGUACUAUUUAGUACUGUUAGGCGUUUGGUGCUGUUUCGUAUCAAAUUAGCACCGGAUUAUUUAUGCAGCCCCACUUAUUUUGUACGAUGCACACCAGAUAACUUAUACACUCUAAUUUCUCGGUAUUAUUAGUUGGGUCGUUGAAAUCAAAAUCACGCUAGCUCUUUUUUUAUCCCUCUCUCACAGAUUACUCCAGCGCCAUCCCGAUCCAUCUUCUCAACCAAUAUUCCUCUCUCUCUCUCUCUCUCUCUCUCUCUCUCUCUCUCUCUCGACGAAGAAGGAACUGGAGUUUUGGUGAUGCGGCUAUAUAUGAUUGUUGAGGAUGGGGAUUGGGUGGUGGAAUAAGUUGGAAUUGGGGCUAAUCAAUGAACAUGUCGUUGACCUGCAUUUGCAUAUACUCGUGGCGAACAUCCAUGGCAGCAGGGUCUACAUCUAGAUCAGAUGUGGUUUCUAGUGUUUUUGCCCAUCAAAUUAACGGACUCUAAUACCAAAUUUGAUUUUAAAUUGGAAACUCAAUGCGAUUAAAUGUUCUUCAAUCUCCUUUUGAGGAAGUAGAUGAACAUGAUAAGUUUUGAUAGUUUGUACAACAUCAACUUUUAUUACUAGAAAGAGGAAGAAGUGCAGACAAGACUAAUCCAAGAUGAACCGAGUUUUUAUUUUUUAUUUAACUGAGAACAUAUCUAAUCAAUGCUCAUUAAUUUGUUUAUGCUCUUAAAAAAUAUGUAGACAUUUUUUUUUCAUAAGAAAAUGGGUAAUUUAAUCCGAUAUUGCACCAAACGCCAAACUAAAUAGUCAAUAUGUCUGGCUAAAUAGUCAGUAUUAUCCGAUAGUAGAUUAUCCUAUCCGACUAAAAAAAUCAAUGCAGUCCGAGCUGCCAAAUGAGUCCUAUACAUACAAUGAUUAUUAUUGAGUUUCAUCAUUAUCAGUCGAAAGUAAUUAUUUUUAGCACAUAAUGGAAUGCCAUGGUUAUUAUUUUUUUUUUUCUUUCUAUAAGAUGAGUUUUGGAAGAGUUUUCCAUAAAGGUGAGUGAGUAAGUUCAGAUCUAUUACUUACGGAUAUACAUGUCGGCAUAUAAGUGAAUAGUUUGACAUUAUUAUUGGACUUAAUAACGUUUAAACUAGUAUUAAACAUUAUGGAGGAAAAACUGAAGAACUCAAUUUCAAAAUAAGAGGGAGUUCCAACCUCAUGGAAAGGGAUAGAAAUUGCUACCAUGAUAGGAGGAGUAGUUAGAAUCCCAUAAAGACAUGUGUCGAUGCAAAUUUCCGCCGUCUUUAGUUUUAACGAAAAUGCACCUUCAAAACAAUCAACACCUUUGAUCAAAGACCUAAGCCCCACGCUCCCACGAGGUGGGGGAGGGGGGAUUAGGUCAACGGAUCUCCGAUAUCUAAGUUAGUUUCUUUGAGAGAGUAAAGUGUGUAGGGCUUCUUUAGGGUUGCAAAAGCUUUGAAAAUUUGGUAGAAUAUGGGGUAUCUGUAGGGAUAGGGCCGACCAUAGUGUUUAAUGGAAAAAUAUUCUCUAAAUAUUCCCAAAAUAUUAAAUAGGAAAUAAUAUCUUGAAAAUAAUGGUGUAACUAUCCUUAAUUUAUUUAAAUUAGGAUUACUUACUUGAUUGGAGUCAAUCUUCAAUUGGGAAUGUAUUAAAGAUAGGAUUUGGGUAAUUAAUUCUAAUCUUUAAUUCUUUGUCAAGGGCAGGUGAGCUGUGGGCAGUCGUAUUCACCUACCGAGAUCUCCAGGGAUGUGAGCUGCGCAUGGAAGCAUUUGAGAAGCCUACCCAUUUAUUGAGGGCAAUCUUGUCUUUCUUGAAUAAAAGUCCACGUGUUGCCUCUAGAAUUUUUGGGAUUAUUUUAGGCUCCACAAAUGCCCCCACACUUACUGUGCCGCACGCAGGAAAAUGAUAGUAGGUGUAGGAAUCCCAAGCUACUUAGGCUUGUAGAAUUGUUUCCCAAUUUGAACAUGAUCGUCCUUUUUUAUUUGGAGAUAGACUUCUUCUAGGAAAAGGAAAAUAAUUGUCCCCAAUACCUAUUUAAUUUUGCCUUAAGCAGGGGAUUAAAUAAAUUUGGGGAACAAUCAUUAUUCCAACAAGGAAGAGAAGCCAGAGGAAAUUUUUAUUCCCCCUCCCCUAGCGUUAUUCUUUUCUUGCCCUUGCAAAAAGUCGUUUCUCGUU
rnacentral:lncRNA from 1 species